UACGGAGGAUGCGAGCGUUAUCCGGAUUUAUUGGGUUUAAAGGGUGCGUAGGCGGGCAUUUAAGCCGGCGGUCAAAUGUCGGGGCUCAACCCCGGCCUGCCGUCGGAACUGGGGAUCUAGAGUGUGCGAGAGGUAUGCGGAAUGCGUGGUGUAGCGGUGAAAUGCAUAGAUAUCACGCAGAACCCCGAUUGCGAAGGCAGCAUACCGGCUCCACACUGACGCUGAGGCACGAAAGCGUGGGUAUCGAACAGG
rnacentral:rRNA from 1 species